rnacentral:rRNA from 1 species
UACGGAGGGUGCGAGCGUUGUCCGGAAUCACUGGGCGUAAAGGGCGCGUAGGCGGCCCGGUAAGUAGGAGGUGAAAUCCUGCGGCUUAACCGCAGGGCUGCCUUCUAAACUGCCAGGCUUGAGCACAGUAGAGGCAGGUGGAAUUCCCGGUGUAGCGGUGGAAUGCGUAGAGAUCGGGAAGAACACCGAAAGCGAAGGCAGGGUCCUGGCUGGUACCUGACGCUCGUGGGCGAAAGCUAGGGGAGCGAACGGG